CUUGUAGGUGGCCAACUAAGUCAGACGUGAAAUCCCUCGGCUUAACCGGGGAACUGCGUCUGAUACUGGAUGGCUUGAGUGUGGGAGAGGGAUGCGGAAUUCCAGGUGUAGCGGUGAAAUGCGUAGAUAUCUGGAGGAACACCGGUGGCGAAGGCGGCAUCCUGGACCAUAACUGACACUGAUAAGCGAAAGCCAGGGGAGCAAACG
rnacentral:rRNA from 1 species